GAAAAAAUAACAGCUGAAAUGUCUCAUCAACACCAGAGUUUUGGAAGUAAAGUUUGCUUCAGCAGUGUUCACCAAGACACCUUCAUGGGACGAAGAGCCUACUCUCUGCGGUGAUGGCGUAGUUGCGCAAAUAUUACCGCAGGACAGAA